UACGGAGGGGGCUAGCGUUGUUCGGAAUUACUGGGCGUAAAGCGCACGUAGGCGGCUUUGUAAGUUAGAGGUGAAAGCCCGGAGUUCAACUCCGGAAUUGCCUUUAAGACUGCAUCGCUUGAAUCAUGGAGAGGUGAGUGGAAUUCCGAGUGUAGAGGUGAAAUUCGUAGAUAUUCGGAAGAACACCAGUGGCGAAGGCGACUCACUGGACAUGUAUUGACGCUGAGGUGCGAAAGCGUGGGGAGCAAACAGG
rnacentral:rRNA from 1 species